rnacentral:rRNA from 1 species
GACGAACGCUGGCGGCGUGCUUAACACAUGCAAGUCGAACGGAAAGGCCUUUUCGGAGGUACUCGAGUGGCGAACGGGUGAGUAACACGUGGGUGAUCUGCCCUGCACUCUGGGAUAAGCCUGGGAAACUGGGUCUAAUACCGGAUAGGACCGCACUUUAGUGUGUGUGGUGGCAAGUUUUUUCGGUGUAGGAUGAGCCCGCGGCCUAUCAGCUUGUUGGUGGGGUAAUGGCCUACCAAGGCGGCGACGGGUAGCCGGACUGAGAGGUUGGUCGGCCACAUUGGGACUGAGAUACGGCCCAGACUCCGACGGGAGGCAGCAGUGGGGAAGAUUGCACGAUGGGCGCAGGCCUGAUGCAGCGACGCCGCGGGGGGGAUGACGGCCUUCGGGUUGUAAACUCCUUUCGCCAGGGACGAAGCGUUUUGUGACGGUACCUGGAGAAGAAGCACCGGCUAACUACGUG